rnacentral:lncRNA from 1 species
UACUCCUAAAAGCAGGGAGGGCUGAGAAUGUGAUUUACAGACAGUAAAGGAAGCUACUUUUAAGCAAGCAAACCUCUGGGAAACUCUGAAUAAUAUAAUGACCUAACACUAGACUUGCCCUGCAGCUCAAUAUUGUCAGUAAACUCUUGAGAAAACAUAUUAGUGUUAUUUACAUGAUUUAUAGCCUCAAGAUAUUUAACUAGGCAUUCCAUUUAGAUUUAUCAGGAUAGCUAUUGCCUGCUAAGUACAUAUAAAUACUAGAUAUGUAAGAAAAUAUUUAGUAAAGUUUAACGAUUAAAUAGUAUCUGCUCAUCUUGUUAGAGACUUGUUAAUCUGUAGCAAAAAACACUUUCUUAUACUGACACUUUGUUAACAUGUAAUAAACAUAUUAAGGGUAAGCAAAAUUUAUACCUGAAGAGAAGCACCUUCUGAGACAUGGUUGUUUUCUUUGUAUGUUUUUCUGACUAGGUGGUAUAAAUGACACUCUGUUUGGCAUUCUUUCAGCUCUUAUUUGAUGAGUGGGAGCAUCCUGCAAGGGGACACCAUUAUUGAGAGAAUGUUAGUAUCUGGAAAACAUUGAUCACUUGUGAUAGAAUAUGGCCUGUUUGGGCAGGGUCUUCUUAUCAUGAGCAAUACUAGUUAGCUCAAACUUCUCUCCAUUUUUUUGCUACCCUGAAAUCCAAGCCAGUUGCUGCUGGAUGACUAAGAUUUCCUUUUAUUUGUCUCUUUCCUUCACCAUUGUCCUUCUACAGCCCAUCCUCCAUAUGGUAUUAGAACAGUCUUUCUAAAAUAUGCAUCAGAUCAUGCCAAUCCCUUGUUUAAAAACUUUUACUAACCAAUCAAGUUACUAGAAUAAAAAUCUAAAUUUCUUACCCUGGAAUCUCUCUUUUUUUUGACCCUUCCUCAAUUUUUAAUUUCAUUGUCUUUUUCCAACUCCCUCUCACAACCUACAUACAAACUGCAUUCCAGGUUUAUUGCUCCUGGUUUAUGAUAUAAUGCAUCCCUUUCUCAGGGCCUUUGCAUAUGCCAUUUUUUAAAAAGUCUGGAAAGUUCUUUUCGCUGAUACUGCAUGACUGCCUCCUUAAGUUUCAGAGCAUUUGUCCCCCUCACCACACCUCCAGGGUAUUUUCUCUCUAUCACACAUAUUUUUCUCUGUGGCACUUACUCUACAAAAUAACGUUAAUAUGUAUUUACUUGUUUAGUGUCUGUUUCUGCAUCAAGGAUAUAAGUUUCAUGAGAAUAAAGUCGUGGUGUAUCUUGACUUACUACCAUAUCAAUAAAAGCAUAUUAAAUGAAUGUAUGCAUCAUAAAUUUACUGGACAUGUCUGUAUAUGGAAUUGCACAUCUGCCUCCAUUCUUGCACAUUUCUCCUUGGCAUAUUUUCUGAUUGUAGGAAUCCAAGUCAUUACAACAACCACAAAUAGAGGAUUUAAUUGCCUGAUUACCUGCUUGUACUAACAUCUUGCUAUACUGAAAGUCCUGCUACAACCAUCUUUCCACGUGUUACAGUGCUAUUCCCAUAUGUGAGGGAUAGAUCAAAAAGAGCAACAGCAAUGCAGAUGAAGCAUUGGCAAUUGUCCCUUCCUUGUACAUGGUGGCAGUUUGGACAGUCCGAAAAAGAGGAAGGUCUGAGUGCUAGUAAGCAUGUAUCUAUGAAAUAAUGGCAUCUGUGAGAAUAAGCUUGUUGGUGGGGGAGGACCCAAGCGGCUGUUCAAGAAUCUCAGAGAUCUUGUGAAAACUUGGACAGGUCCAAGCACUGAUACCUACCAAAACAGAAUGAGUGAGAAAAGCAGAAGACCAAUAGGAUAACGGUGAACCACAAAGACCUAAACUAAAAGCAAAUCAUAAAAGAGCGAUUUUUAAUUGCACAGAGCAUGGAUUGAAUGCUUUACAUCACUAAGGGUUCUAUAGUAAGGAUUUGAACAAUUUUUAACUGACUUGAAGCCGAUUGAUUUUGUUAGGCAAUGAGACACAUGUGAAUGAAGCUAUUGUAUUCAAAAGAACCACAUUCCAAAGGAAAUUCACACAGAUAGUGCCAUGCUUGUGAACAUAAACUGAGAUACUUGAAUAUUGUUAAAAUUAUGAUGAGGUCAUUGAGAAUGUCAUAGCAGGAAUCCUAAGGAAAAGCAUUAACAUUUCUGCAUUUCUAGUUUGUAUGGAAAUGCUAAUUCUACUUAUGUUAAGUAAAGUACAGGCAUGGCAUUAUUAUGAUUAAAACUUUACAACUGUAGAAAUGUAGAGUGGUAUAUUAAUAAUAUUAUAGACAUGUUUAGCAUAAAAUGCAACCCAUGUAGCUAAAUUAGUUGUACAUUCCAGGCUGCAUCUGGAUUUCUUGUGAUCCUAUUACCUUACAAAGCUGAACAGAAGAAUAAACCUUUCAUGCUUCUUAGGGUGCUCACACAUUAGCUAGUUUUUGUUUUUCCUACCGCAUUUGUCCCUGGAGAGUGCCGGAAUCUUCUAAAGGCUUUUUUAGAAAAGCACUGUGUUAUUUUAAAGUAGUAGUUAAGAUCAUCUUACUUGGGUGAUGAUGCCUGUUUCAUAUGGCUAAUAGCCAUACUUGCCUCACAAAUAACCUGAAAGAAUGAUCACUUUCGCUAGCCUUCUCGGGAGAAGGUAUAUAUAGUAGUUUAUAGAAAAAUUGCUUGUAUAAAUUUCAGUAACUCAUUUAUUAUGUCCUACUCUACAUUUUUUAGGAGAGCAAGAAGAAUUAAUAUUGGAGUAGAUUUGGGGGAGUAGCCAUUAGGAUGACAUCUAUAUAUAUAUAAAUUAUUGGAUUUAUUAGGACAUACUAGGUCUUAGUGAGAGAUUACUAAGGGGAGAAAACCAGGAGUCAUGAGGGAGUGAAAGAGGGAAGGACUCUGAGAGAACAUAAAGUUGAAACGGAAGUUUACAUUAUAACCACAAAUAGAUUUAUUAACUCUGUUAAUGAUAUUAGCCAUGUGAAUGGGCUUGGGCAAGUCAUCAAUUAUGGAGUGAUCUCGCUAAGCCAAGGGUUGGGUUAAAACAAUGUAGUUGAAGUGCCAUCUGGACAUACAUGAUAAAUAUUAAAUUGUUAACUUACAUAAUAAACUUCGUGAUUUUGAAACUGUUCACAAAUCCAAUCUGAAUUUUUAAGCAGUCUAAGGAACUAGAGAGUUUUAAAAAUGUAGGCUUUUUUUAUGUUUUACUUACAGGGCACAUAGUAAGUCAAUUUAGUUUAACAAAAGUUGCCAAGAAAUGGACUUCAUUUAAAAUAGCAUUUUAAAAAAAGCUUUAAUUGCAUCAUAUGAUUUUUUCUAUGUAUAUAUGUACUUAUAAUUUUGUCUUCUUAGAUAAGUUAGACAUAGGAAUAUUACAAUUCUGAUUACAAUCCUGAUACAUCAUUUUGUCAGAGUGAUUGUGGAGAUAAACUCCAGCUCUGAUUGAUUUGCAACAAAUUUCGCACUCCUACUAUUUUGAUGUGAAUUAUCAUACACCAAUGUAUGUUAAACUUUUUAUUUCAUCCUAGGACCAGACCCGUCCUACUGGUAACUUGAGUUUACAGGUAUAGGUAUUAGUCAACAACCAUAUAUAGGCAUCUACUGCAAAUACUAUGCUAUCAUUCUAACAUACUUUAUCCUUGCCCUGGAAAAACCUCUUCCUUUCUUCAUUCAAAAUGUACUCAACUGAUACAAGAGAAUUUUCAUACUCUUGAUGUAUUUGAUCCUUCCCCUUGGUGUCAGUUUCUCCUUGCAAGGUCACCUAACAUCAUUAGAGGAAGUACAAGUGCUAGUAGCCCCAGUCCUUUGUGUCUUUCUAUUCUUCCCCCUGAUGUCAGAGAAACACCGUCAGCCCAAAGAAGUGUUAUGUCUGAGCCUUUGUCUAAGGUGACCCCUCAUCUCUAAAUGCUCAGAAGAAUACUGCCAGGGUUUGUGAAGCUGGCUGGCAGUGGUAGGUGGGGGUAGGUGCUCUUUCCCUUGCACUCUUGGCAGAGAGUUAUGUAACCUUCCAUCUCACUUGGCAUUUGAAACUCAUUUUCCCAUCGAUAUUGGGAACCAUAGGAUUAUGGAUUUUGUCGUUCAACCAUUUUUUUCUGUGGCAAAAAAAUGGGUUCUGAGUUUUAAACAGCUCAGUUACAAAGUGAUGGUAGAACAUCAUUGGUUUAUUAUCUGAAACUCUUUAUCAGCUUCAAUAUAGGACAAUUUGAUCUAUAUAAAUUUAAUGUAUAGUACAAGUGAAAAUAAUAGUACGCCACCAAUCUUGAGUUUGUGACAAUUCAGAUUCUAGGCUUUCAAGUAUUUUUCUUAAAAAAUAAAAGGGGAUUUCCUGUGUGGCUCAACAGUAAUGAACCCAAAUAGUAUCCAUGAGAACACAGGUUGGAUCCUUGGCCUAGCUUAGUGGAUUUAAGGAUCUGGCAUUGCUGUGAGCUGAGAUGUAGUUUGCAGACGCAACUCAGAUCUGGCCUUGCUGUGGCUGGGACAGAGGCUGCAGCUCAGAUUCAACCCCCAUAUGUAUAGGAACUUACAUAUGCUGCAAGUACGGCCUUAAAAAGACAAAAUAAAACAAAAGGUCUUCUUUUCCUCACAUAAUCUGUAGGAGUAAAUCUACCUUUUAAGCUAAUAAAAUGUAGCAGAGAAAUUCUUUGAAUAUUAUGGAGGUACAAGGCAGGUGUCAACACAAUAAUUGCCUCCUUAGGCUUGUACUCCGGUGGAGUUUGAUAAGGAUUCCUAUAAAAUAUGCCUUUUUAAAAACUGGCCUUGAUUAAUCAUUUAUGUAAAUAAGAAGGGUAAACAUAAUGUGUGUGUGUUGUGUGUGUGCCUGUGUAUUUACUCAUAUGUAUGUGGAAUAUUUAGGAAAGAUGUAUAAGAACCUCCAAAUAGAUGAAACAGGUUGCCUAAAGACAGGAAUAGAAAGAUAGCUACAGUUCAUUCUACAACAUUCUGUACCACUUGAUUUUUGCACUAUGUGAAUGCCUUAACUAUUCAAAUAAAUGAAAUUAAAAGGAAAACAGAAAGGUUUUGGUUGGUCCACACCCAUCUUUUAUGCAAAACAUUGGUACUGAGGGAGAUGUCUAAUACUUUGGGGCUUUCACAUGAGUGACUAACAGUGGAGGCCCCUUAUGGCCCUUAUCUCUUGGCUUGACUCAUGGAGUAUAAGGAAUAACAAAUGGUGGUAACCUGCCUUCCAUUCACUGGAGUGCUGUAUGCAGCCUUAGUGUUGCCUGUUAAAUGACGCAAAUCUCCUUCCUUGCACAUGGACAUUUUGAGAAGCAAGUGCCAGUAGAAACUUGGGAAAUGUAGCAUCGUGAUGUUGGAGUUCCUGUCACGGCUCAAUGGAAACGAAUCUGACUCGUAUCCAGGAGGACUCAGGUUCGAUCCCUGGCCUCACUCAGUGGGUUAAGGAUGCGGAGUUACCAUGAUUUGUGAUGUAGGUUGCAGAUGUGGCUUGGAUCCCGCGUUGCUGUGGCUCUGGUGUAGGAAGGCAGCUACAGCUCCUAUUGGACCCCUAGUCUGGGAACCUCCAUAUGCUGUGGGUGUGGCC